GCAUGAGGGGAUAGCAUGCUUUUACUUUCACUCUCUUUGUAAUAAAAAACGAUUUCCCGGUCGGAAUAUUAUCGCUUUUUUACGAGAAAAAUGGCAUAAAAAUUGAUUUUAAACAACGCUUGACAUGCUUCGAAGUACGGUAAUGGAAUAUUUAGACAUUUUUCGUCACGAAAUGCGCCAUGCUCGUCACCCUUAUUUACCCUUUCGGAUAGUGUCUUGAACGCAUGAACAAAACGCCGCUAUUUGGAUAUAACAAUGGAUUAUUUGGGACCAAACCAACAUUUGUUAUUGAAGUAGAAGUCCUGGGAGUGCAUUCUGACGAAGAACAGCAAAGCCCAGCUGGUGGGUGUCGAGGGACAGGCACAGCUGUGGGGGAUCUGAAUGCAGGCCUCUAAAUCCUGAAUAGGAUUAGCCAAUCGCCAGUGCUUCCUGCCUCAAGGCUGCAGUCCAGGUUGCUGUAGCAGGGUGCCUGGUCCCCAACGCUUCCUGCCUGAGAGAAAGGGGUAGCCAAGCCAUGCAGAACCACUGGGAGGAGAACAGGAGAGGUAUUGUGGGUUAUUUAAAACAAGGAAGGAUAGGAGGACUUCAAAGGACUUGGGCAAUGAUCCCCUCUCUAGCUUUCACGUUCAACAUAUCCUGUUUAGAAAUGUGUCGGCCUCCAAAUCAAAACGUUUGGUUCUCUGGAGAGAUUAUUUAAAUCCAUUCAUAAUGUAAAUUUUUCCUAUCAACAAUGCAUAUUUUUGUCCUGGUUUAAUUAACCCAAAGACUCACAAAUAUUUACCUCUCUCCCUCACCUUUACCUUUGCCUUUCUCCCUCACCUUUACCUUUGCCUUUCUCCCUUACAUUUACCUUUGCCUGUCUCCCUCACCUUUGCCAGUCUCCCUCAGCUUUACCUUUGCCUUUCUCCCUCACCUUUACCUUUGCCUUUCUCCCUCACCUUUGCCUGUCUCCCUCACCUUUGCAUUUCUCCCUCACCUUUGCGUGUCUCCCUCACCUUUGCAUUUCUCCCUCACCUUUGCGUGUCUCCCUCUCCUUUAACUUUUCUCCUAUCUACAUGGUCUAAUUUAGUCAGCUUGACAUGUGCUGUUUCAGACAAGACUUGAGGGGGGAAGACUGACGUGUGCCGUUUUACUGCAAACAACACCUCAUUACAGGAUCACUGAAUAUUUAUCACUGUAGGUAGAUGUUAUCUCACGCCUUGGUCAAUUAACAACUUUCAAGUGCAUUUAAUUGGUAAAAAAACUUUCCUGGAGACAAGUAAUUUAAAGUAAUCAGCCAAUGUUUUCUCCAGCUGCCUCUGACGUUGAAAAGCUGAAAUUUACCACAUGAUUUUUACAACACUCAUCAAACAUUCAUAUUAUUUUGAAUUGUAUUUUCCUUCUUGUCCCCGUGACCCACAUCACUAAUGUUGUUUUUUCUUUCAAACAGAAGCAACACACACUUCUCUUGAG
rnacentral:lncRNA from 1 species